rnacentral:rRNA from 1 species
GACGAACGCUGGCGGCGUGCUUAACACAUGCAAGUCGAACGGAAAGGCCCUGCUUUUGUGGGGUGCUCGAGUGGCGAACGGGUGAGUAACACGUGAGUAACCUGCCCUUGACUUUGGGAUAACUUCAGGAAACUGGGGCUAAUACCGGAUAGGAGCUCCUGCUGCAUGGUGGGGGUUGGAAAGUUUCGGCGGUUGGGGAUGGACUCGCGGCUUAUCAGCUUGUUGGUGGGGUAGGGGCUUACCAAGGCUUUGACGGGUAGCCGGCCUGAGAGGGUGACCGGCCACAUUGGGACUGCGGUACGGCCCAGACUCCUACGGGAGGCAGCAGUGGGGAAUAUUGCACAAUGGGCGGAAGCCUGAUGCAGCAACGCCGCGUGCGGGAUGACGGCCUUCGGGUUGUAAACCGCUUUCGCCUGUGACGAAGCGUGAGUGACGGUAAUGGGUAAAGAAGCACCGGCUAACUACGUG